AUUGAACGCUGGCGGCAUGCCUUACACAUGCAAGUCGAACGGCAGCACGGGUGCUUGCACCUGGUGGCGAGUGGCGAACGGGUGAGUAAUACAUCGGAACGUACCUUAUCGUGGGGGAUAACGCAGCGAAAGCUGUGCUAAUACCGCAUACGCCCUGAGGGGGAAAGCGGGGGAUCGCAAGACCUCGCGCGAUUAGAGCGGCCGAUGCCUGAUUAGCUUGUUGGUGGGGUAAAAGCCCACCAAGGCGACGAUCAGUAGCUGGUCUGAGAGGACGAUCAGCCACACUGGGACUGAGACACGGCCCAGACUCCUACGGGAGGCAGCAGUGGGGAAUUUUGGACAAUGGGGGCAACCCUGAACCAGCAAUGCCGCGUGAGUGAAGAAGGCCUUCGGGUUGUAAAGCUCUUUUGUCAGGGAAGAAACACCGGCUCUAACACAGUCCGGGAAUGACGGUACCUGAAGGAUAAGCACCGGCUAACUACGUGCCAGCAGCCGCGGUAA
rnacentral:rRNA from 1 species